UAGAAACAUUAUAUAAACACAAUAACCUACACACAAAACUUGACCCGCAAGAGCCAUUAGAUUUUUCCUAAGAACCUACAGCUGCAAGAACCCUUCUUCUGGAAGCAGCCUAGACGUAGAACACUAAUCAGUAGUCACACACCUACUGAUUAGUGUGACUUCAUCUUCUCUAAUCAUCCUCCCCAUAAGAGACAAAAAUGAUUACAUACAAAGGGUCAAAAUUAAGGAUGGCAUAGACACACAUCCCAUGCACGAUUUGGAGGUCAAAAAUAAAAGAUACUCACCGGUCACUAAACCCACCUGAAUUAGCCGCAUUCCAGCACUAAAAUACCAUGAAACCACCAUUUUCAGAUAGAAUCGAGGUCGUCGAUUGAGGUUUUUUCGGCUAGCAGUCUCCUUCGGAGCUGUAUCUGGACUCUUUCUUAAAUCAAAGUUCGGAAGAAAAUUUUGAGCGACAAAAGAUUUACAGGCUCGGAAGGUAGACUUUGAGUGGCUAAAUAAGCAGCAAGGUAUGUUAAGGUUAUCCCUUUCUUUCUUAAGACAUGAUCCUACUGUUAUGAACUUUCACAAAUGAUUCCUCUCAUAGAAAUGCUAGAAGCUUAUAUUCUUGAUGUUCUCUUAUGAUAUCAUUGAUGUUUACCUCAUCUUAUGAUUAUUGUUCCUUCAAGGUGAGAUAUGUUCAUGAUGAUAGCUCCAUACUGAUAAUAGGAGGUACAACGACCUUACGUCACUCCGAUGAAUUUAGAAAUGUGUUCUCAAGGAGUGUGUUGUAAGACAUGAAUAGUAUGCUAGUUAUAAGAUUCUCUAAUGAGGUACUUAACGUUAGAAGGAAGGAUUAUGAUGUAUCUAGAAAUUGAUUAAGGAUUAGUUAAUCAGGAAGAAGUCUUAAUGGCCCGAAAAUGUGUUUAUAAGUCUUAUGUGAUCAUGUAGGCAUCAACAGAUAAGUAGUGACCAUCACGGGUGUAUAAGAGUUACUAUGUUAGUUAUAAGAUCUGUAAGAGGGCAUAUGCUAUUAGAAAGUAAAGCUCAUGAUGUAUUUGUCAGGUAGUCAAGGUUGGGUCAAUUCAGAAGGUGUUCUAACAAUUUAGAAGUACGUUUAUAAGACUAAGGGUUACAUAGAAACUAGUAGAUAAAGAACGAACGCUAGAAGUAUAUAAAGGGUACCCAUAGGGGAUAUUGUGCAUAUGCUUUUAUAUCCGGAUCGGGUUGAACGUUCUGCAACACAUGCUUUCAUAUCUAGAUUGGGUUGCACGUUCCACAACACAUGCAUUCAUAUUUACCACUGGUCGAUGGCCAGUUGGGCAGUUAUUACCACCUACUACGACUGGUCGGGUAGAUAUGUAUUUACCACCAUGCUACGACUGGUUAGGAAGUUAUUACCACCAAGCUACGACCGGUUGGGCAGUUACCACUGAUCAAUGGGGCAGUGCGCUCUACCAUCAGGCGAUAAUCAGAUGGGUAGUUACCACCGUGCUAUGGUCGAUCGGGCAGUUAUCACUGAUCAGUUGGGCAGAUAGGACUAGGAUGGUAAGUAGGUCAGAGACACUGUAUUGUACAUAGAUGUAGUUAAGCACAGUAGAGAAUAGAGAGACAUACAUGCUAGAUUCGCAUUGGUAAGUCAGAAAUGCCAGGUUGAUUCUUAUCCUUCUUCUUUGCAGUAUAUGUUUAUUAUGUUACAUUUUUUGUCUUACAUACUCGGUACAUUUUCGUACUGACGUCCUUUUAUUAGGGGCGCUGCCUUUCAUACCCGCAGGUCUUGAGAUACAGGUUGACAGAUCUCUCAGUAGCUCAGUAGGCAGUGUCGUGGCAGUCCACUUGCUGCAAAGUUGCUUUGUGAGUCAGCAUGAUUGCAUAUGCCUUUGCAUGGGUAUAACGGGGCCCUGUCCCGACCACGUUAUGUCAUGUACUCCAGUAGAAGCUUGUAGACCAUAUAUACAGUUAGAUGUAUGUGACAGUCUGGUCCAGCUUGUAUACUUGGGAUUAGUUUGAUGAUGUAUGUAUAUUAUGUUUUGGGCUUGUGUCUCAUACAACUUAUGUAUAUAUGAGUUAGCAUUAUGGCCCACUCAGCUAUGACUAGGAGUUGUAUGUAUGUGGUGCUCGGAAGGUUAGCUCCGGGUGCCCGUCAUGGCCCUCCGGUUGGAUUGUGACAUGCGGUCUCCACUUAAUCUCCCAAACGCGCAGGUGUGAGAAAGCGUACGCAUAUGCGGCUCUCCCCAAGCCCACCAUAUCUCGCAUCUGCGGACCAAACCCGUAAAGGCAGGCCCGUAGGUGCGGUCGCAUAUCGCAGGUGCUGUCACACCAGAAACUAGAAAUUUUUUGUUUUCACUAUGUCCGGUCCAACACCUAGAACUCAUUUGGAACCCCACGAACACAAAUCAAACAUGUUAACUCAUCAGAAAUCACGCUACGAAUUCCCUUACGCACUCGAAUUUUCAAAAAAGAGGUUGCCUUGAUCGGGUGUUGACCCAAGUCAACUCCAACCAACCCAAAACCAAGCUUCCAACCAACGACCCAAAACCCAAAAGGAUGCCUUAGGACCUGAUAAGUUGUGUAUUUUUGGCUUUUUAUGACCACUACUUAUCUCUUUUUGGGAGUCUUUUGAAGCGUUUGUCUGUAUUUCUACUAGGUUGUUUCAUGUUUUCAGGUUUUUGAGUCAAGGACGCAAAAAGGACAAAAUGAUGAGAAAAAGAGAAAAAUGUUGACAUGCGAUGAGUAUGCGGACGCAUGUCUGUCAUGCGUCCGCAUACUCGGCAUCAGAAGAACUAGUGAGCAACACAGUUUUCACAAAUAUGCGACGAAUAUGCAGGACCACAAACUUGAUGUGCGGUCGCAUAUUUAUCCUUCCACGAGCCAGUGAGUGGAGCGAACUGAGCAAGAGUGCAAAGAGUAUGCGGCUCCGCCAACUAAUUUGGCGCUCGCAUAAUCCCAUGGGAGACAACAAAAAUGCGGCGAUCAACAGAGAGUAUGCGGGCGCACACUCAGUAUGCGGCCACACACUUGCCCUGCACGAGUGCAUUAAAAGCCAGUUUUUCACUUUUUGUCCCCCAUCUAUAAAUACUAGUCCUUGGUUGCUGUGUUGGACAUUGAAUAUUCCCUACUUUUCAGUUUCUAUUGUCUUUUAGCUCUAAAGUGGAGCAUUGAAUACUAUUAUUGUGGAAGCUUUUAAAGAAGAUUCUCCAUCUUUUUGUCA